AGCUCCAAUAGCGUAUAUUAAAGUUGUUGCAGUUAAAAAGCUCGUAGUUGAAUUUCUGAUAGGGCCCGCCUGGCGUUGAGUAUUUUACUCUUCUGACCGUGUGUGGGCUUGGUCAUCCUCUCCCUUUGUUUUAACGGAGGGAGUCGUUUACUGUAAAAAAAAUUGAGUGUUUCAAGCAAAAAGUAUUUUAGAAAAUAAUAGUAUGGAAUAAUAAGAUAGGACUUUGAUGCUAUUUUGUUGGUUUGCCAUCAGAGUAAUGAUUAAAAGGAACAAUUGGGGGUAUUCGUAUUCAAUUGCUAGAGGUGAAAUUCUUGGAUUUAUGGAAGACGAACGACUGCGAAGGCAUUUACCAAGGAUGUUUUCAUUA
rnacentral:rRNA from 1 species